rnacentral:tRNA from 2 species
GCAGGCGUCGCCAAGAGGUUAAGGCACUGGAUUGUGGUUCCAGUAUUCGGGGGUUCGAUUCCCCUCGUCUGCCCCA